GCUCAGGAUGAACGCUGGCGGCGUGCUUAACACAUGCAAGUCGAACGAAGAUACUUAAAAUGAGAGCUUCGGCAGGAAUUUUAUUUAUCUUAGUGGCGGACGGGUGAGUAACGUGUGGGCAACCUGCCCUAUACUGGGGAAUAAUCACUGGAAACGGUGACUAAUACCGCAUGUCAUUACGGAAGGGCAUCCUUCUGUAAGAAAAGGAGUAAUUCGGUAUAGGAUGGGCCCGCAUCUGAUUAGCUAGUUGGUGAGAUAACAGCCCACCAAGGCGACGAUCAGUAGCCGACCUGAGAGGGUGAUCGGCCACAUUGGGACUGAGACACGGCCCAAACUCCUACGGGAGGCAGCAGU
rnacentral:rRNA from 1 species